rnacentral:rRNA from 1 species
GACAGAGGUGGCUAGCGUUGUUCGGUAUCACUGGGCUUAAAGCGUGUGUAGGCGGGAGCGUAAGCAGUUUGUGAAAUCCCCCGGCUCAACCGGGGCAUUGCUUGCUGUACUGCGUUCCUUGAGGCCAGUAGGGGUGCGAGGAACUCUUGGUGGAGCGGUGGAAUGCGUAGAUAUCAAGAGGAACGCCGGUGGUGAAGACGUCGCACUAGGCUGGUCCUGACGCUGAGACACGAAAGCGUGGGGAG